UACAGAGGUCUCAAGCGUUGUUCGGAUUCAUUGGGCGUAAAGGGUGUGUAGGUGGCGCGCUAAGUCGGGUGUGAAAUUUCGGAGCUUAACUCCGAAACUGCAUUCGAUACUGGCGUGCUUGAGGACUGGAGAGGAGACUGGAAUUUACGGUGUAGCGGUGAAAUGCGUAGAUAUCGGGAGGAACACCUGAGGCGAAGGCGGGCUACUGGGCCGAUACUGACGCUGAUGCGCGAAAGCCAGGGGAGCGAACGGG
rnacentral:rRNA from 1 species